GGAAUAUUGGGCAAUGGAGGCAACUCUGACCCAGCAACGCCGCGUGAAUGAUGAAGGUCUUCGGAUUGUAAAGUUCUUUUCUAAGGGAAGAAGAAAGUGACGGUACCUUAGGAAUAAGCCUCGGCUAACUACGUGCCAGCAGCCGCGGUAAUACGUAGGUGGCGAGCGUUAUCCGGAAUGAUUGGGCGUAAAGGGUGCGCAGGCGGUCCUGCAAGUCUGGAGUGAAACGCAUGAGCUCAACUCAUGCAUGGCUUUGGAAACUGGAGGACUGGAGAGCAGGAGAGGGCGGUGGAACUCCAUGUGUAGCGGUAAAAUGCGUAGAUAUAUGGAAGAACACCAGUGGCGAAGGCGGCCGCCUGGCCUGUUGCUGACGCUGAGGCACGAAAGCGUGGGGAGCAAAUAGG
rnacentral:rRNA from 1 species